rnacentral:rRNA from 1 species
GAUGAACGCUGGCGGCGUGCCUAAUACAUGCAAGUCGAGCGAACAGACGAGGAGCUUGCUCUUCUCACGUUAGCGGCGGACGGGUGAGUAACACGUGGAUAACCUACCUAUAAGACUGGGAUAACUUCGGGAAACCGGAGCUAAUACCGGAUAAUAUAAUGAACCGCAUGGUUUAAUAGUAAAAGACGGUUUUGCUGUCAUUUAUAGAUGGAUUCGCGCCGCAUUAGCUAGUUGGGAAGGUAACGGCUUACCAAGGCAACGAUGCGUAGCCGACCUGAGAGGGGGAUGGGCCACACUGGAACUGAGACACGGUCCAGACUCCUACGGGAGGCAGCAGUAGGGAAUCUUCCGCAAUGGGCGAAAGCCUGACGGAGCAACGCCGCGUGAGUGAUGAAGGUCUUCGGAUCGUAAAACUCUGUUAUUAGGGAAGAACAAAUGUGUAAGUAACUAUGCACGUCUUGACGGUACCUAAUCAGAAAGCCACGGCUAACUACGUG